GAACCGUCGUGGAUGCUAGGGAGGCUUGUGGCCAGCCUCGAAGUGCUGCAUAUGUGUGAUGUCACGUCCCUCCAGUCCUCCGAUGGGAGGGCCGUCCUAAGGAAAUGUGCCUCUUUUAGCUUUGGGGGCCGGUCCCUACUGAGAACGACUUCGAGUCUUCUGGCCCUCGGAAGGGGCUUGUUUCCGCUUCAGCUUGUUCACUUUAAGGAAUUUGGUUGUAAAAUUUGGGCAGGAGUGACGCAGAGUUUGGUUCAGAGGAUGGGGCUGGGUAUGUGCACAUUUUUGUGCAGAAAAGAGAAGAGCCCAGGAGUAAGUCAGGUAGCCCGACUCCCGACAUUUUGAGUGCACACCAGCCUGUCUUCCUUGGUGCUACUGGAAGGACCCUCGUUGGAGUCUCGCAGGGCUUCUCAACCUUGACUGCACGCCGGAAUCACUGAAGAGCUUUGAUACAUUGAUUCCUGGGGCCCACUAUGAGGAGUGAGAGUUUGAAAAGAUCUGCAGGUGAUCCUAAUGUGCAGCUGAAGCUAAGAAUCACUGCUCUAUAGCUUCAGGGAAGACUUGAGAUUAUACAAAGAAUGUGAUGAAGUUCUACAGUCAGGAACAAGUCUACACUUGCACUCAAAGAACCUAAAUUGCCUGCCGUAGGCAAGGCAUUGUUACAAAUACAAAUAAGACACAGUUACUGCCCCAAAGGAACUCGUGUUCCAGUGGACAAAUCAGAAUGUGAAAUUGUUACAACACAAAGCAGUGUGUUCUACAAUUAUGUCACUAUUGGGAGACACUAUUGGGAGUACAACUGAGGAAGCAAUUAACUAUGGCCAAGAAAGUUGGAAAAAGCUUCCUAUAACUGGUAUCCUUGAAGAAGAGUAAUUAGAAAAAAUGCAGAGAGAAUAGCAUCUGCAAAGAUACCAUUGGAUUUUUAGUCCACCCUAAAUGACUGUAUAUGCCUGAGCCCUAAUUGCGAACAGGUUUCUGUUUUUACCGUGGGACUCCUUACCCAGAGCACAGAAGAGAACAGAAACUCCUGUGCCAGCCAUGGUUCCCAGGCAGCACCCCCUUUCCACACCUCCUCGGCUUGGGAGAAAGAGGGCUUACUUGCCGGGCAGUUGCUGUACCACCCUGGCCAUCUGUGCCGCCAGAAGUGCUGGCAGAAAAGUGAAACAGAUUGAAAGGACAAGCAAGGAGAAUGGGGGCUUCCCUGGUGGUGCAGUGCUUAAGAAUCUGCCUGCCAAUG